GGUGGUAUAGCUCAGUAGUAGAGUGCUUGCCUGAUAUGUGUGAGGCCCUGGGUUCAAUCCCUAGCACUACAA
rnacentral:tRNA from 1 species